rnacentral:rRNA from 1 species
UUCCUACGGGAGGCAGCAGUGGGGAAUAUUGCGCAAUGGGCGAAAGCCUGACGCAGCAACGCCGCGUGAGGGAUGACGGCCUUCGGGUUGUAAACCUCUUUCAGCAGGGACGAAGCGAAAGUGACUGUACCUGCAGAAGAAGCACCGGCUAACUACGUGCCAGCAGCCGCGGUAAUACGUAGGGUGCGAGCGUUGUCCGGAAUCAUUGGGCGUAAAGGGCUCGUAGGCGGCCUGUCGCGUCUGCUGUGAAAACCCAGGGCUCAACCCUGGGCCUGCAGUGGAUACGGACGGGCUAGAGUCCGGUAGGGGAGACUGGAAUUCCUGGUGUAGCGGUGAAAUGCGCAGAUAUCAGGAGGAACACCGGUGGCGAAGGCGGGUCUCUGGGCCGGAACUGACGCUGAGGAGCGAAAGCGUGGGUAGCAAACAGGAUUAGAUACCCUGGUAGUCCACGCCGUAAACGUUGGGCGCUAGGUGUGGGGGACCUUCCACGUCCUCUGUGCCGCAGCUAACGCAUUAAGCGCCCCGCCUGGGGAGUACGGCCGCAAGGCUAAAACUCAAAUGAAUUGACGGA